rnacentral:tmRNA from 1 species
GGGGGUGAUCUGGAUUCGACCGGAUGUCAAGAAGCAAGCGUUGCGUGUCGUGGUUGAUCAGUUGGCCACGUAAAAAGCUGAUCACAAACUUUUAGUUGCAAAUGAAAAUUUGUCACUGGCUGCCUAAUUAAAGGUGCCCGGACUGAGGGGGAUCGUUAGAGUCGCCCGACUGUCCGUCACAAUUCUAAAUCGCUUGCCGUCCUACUCGAGACGCGGUGAGUUAAACAAGAUUCGAGUUAGUGAGUGGCGGAGCCUGUCGUACAGCGCCGUCGCGAGCGAAUAGGUGUCCUGGGGUAACUCAGAGACGCCACAAAUAGUUCGACUACACACGUAGAAGCAAUUGUGGAUGCAUCGCGGGACGCGGGUUCAAUUCCCGCCGCCUCCA